GGCCAAACCAUGUGCGCGAGAUGCUUGGGGAGAAGACAUCAUAACUUAUGAGAGGUGGAGAGUUCUGAGAGUACCUGGGGAAAAGAGGACGCAAGCCCACCCUCCCCCUGGUCUUGGCCUUUGGAUUCCAGGAGCAGCAGACCCGAAGCCCAGCCCCAGCACCCACAGAGAAUUGCUGCCCCUGGGCCCUCAGUAUUUAAAUCACCCAUUGACUUGAACAAUCACACCCUGCCUCUGCUUUGAGAAUAAAGGCCCCACCACCUUG
rnacentral:lncRNA from 1 species